GACGAAGGGGGCUAGCGUUGUUCGGAAUUACUGGGCGUAAAGCGCGUGUAGGCGGAUCUUUAAGUCAGGGGUGAAAUCCUGGAGCUCAACUCCAGAACUGCCUUUGAUACUGAGGAUCUUGAGUCCGGGAGAGGUGAGUGGAACUCCGAGUGUAGAGGUGAAAUUCGUAGAUAUUCGGAAGAACACCAGUGGCGAAGGCGGCUCACUGGCCCGGUACUGACGCUGAGGUGCGAAAGCGUGGGGAGCAAACAGG
rnacentral:rRNA from 1 species